AUAGUGAUUUGUACAUUGCUACAACGAUACCAACGUAUUCGUUCUGCGAGAACAAAAACAGUUCAACCUUUAGUCCUCUAAAAAGGCAUCAUUUAUAAUAAACUGACUAACUCCUCGAUUUUUUAUUUUUAACUUAAUUCUGUAAAAGAAAAAAGUGUAGAAAAAAUACCCAAAAGUGACGAACCUGAUCAAAAUUCUGGAAGCCUAUUCUACUUUCGGUCCAUCUUUUCCGUGAAUGCACUACAAAUUCAAAUGAACUACUUCUCAAAACUAAGUACAUCCAGCUUAUCAAAGUAAAACUUACAUUUCAGACUUUUUUGAUUCAUUUCCGAGUUGAUAAACGAUACAAACGAUUUUAGUGUUUUUGAUAUUGAAUGUUUUGCUAGGUUUAAAACUAACAAGAUUUAAAAUUCGAAAGAUAAACCUUGGGAAGAAUACUUCCCAACUACAGGAUUUUAGAAAGUCCACCUGUGGGAAGCGCAAAACCCGUUGUAGUUUACAGAUCUAUUAUAACGAUUGGAACAAUAAUUCUCACUUCAGUUUUGUGCUGCCAUCUAUUGUGCAAUUGAUUGAACAGAAUUAGCACAUUUGUUUUGAAAGUUUUCCAACUUCCGUGAAAUUUAUUCCAAGACGCCUGUUUUGAUGUAACAUUUGUAUUGAUCAACGCUUCUACUGCAAAAAGGAAAAUAAAUAUGAAGUUCAUCAUUAUUUUGUUUUUGUUCUUAUGCCUCAUUUCUGUUGUAUUUGGCCACAAAAAAUGCGACAAACAUCGAAAAAAACAAAUGAAAAGGAGGGAAAAGGGAUUAAUUGGCAACUUCAUUCCAGAUUGUGAUGAAAAAGGUCAUUACAAACAAGUUCAGUGCAAUGAAGCAACUGGAUUCUGUUGGUGCGUCGACAAAAAAGGACACAAAACUACUAAAACUGUCCUCCGAGAACAACCUAACUGUCCAAAAAGUUAAAAACUCUAUGUUUUUUUAAAAGAGAAUUUAUUCGACUCGAGUUCCUGUUUUCAAAUUGUGAUUCAAAAUGUAUUCUAAAACUCUUCAUUCUUCAUAGAAAUGUGAUAAAUUUAUACUUGUUGAAAUAAAUAAUUUAGAUGAAACUA